ensembl:lncRNA
CCAAUGGGCGAAAGGCUCAACCCUGCUUUAGCUUCAGUGGGCGAACAGUCUUGGGCUGCAGGGCGAUAUGGCUGCUGGCUGGCCAUGAUGUGUGUGUUUAGAUUAUGUACAUUGUUUGUUUUUAGUAGAUACGUAUUUUAAGCAAAAUAUAAAAAUGAUCCAGACUUCAGGAGAAAAACCCUGAACCCCCAUACAGUAUUUUCUGUCGCAUAGCCUUCUGCCAUAUAUAGGCUAUAUCUACAUGUAAAAAUAAUAAUAGCCUGAUAAAACAUUUUAUCUUACAAUUUUAUAUUCAUGCCCACAUUGCAAUGUAUAAUUGUUCCAGAAACCUAUUGUGCAGACCCCCACUGGGAAGGAAAUAUAGAGACUGGACCAUUUGAAACUUUAAUUGAAUAUUUCUGGUGCCUCAUUUAUAACAGUUGCGGACACACAAAACCUGCCCUGAAAGAAACGUAGCCUACGUCACUUCCUACACAAAAGGUGGGAUUUAUAAAAAAUAAACUUGACAGGAAAAUUUGCGCACCUGCACGCAAACUCUGACCCAUGCGUACGGACAUUUUUUUUUUCCUGCACUCUAAAAAAUCCUGGGUUAUUUUUUUAACCCAAAUGCUGGGAUGCAUUUUUUACAGUGUUUGGGUAGUUUUUGUGUUACCCAGCUCCUGGGUCAAAUGUAACAACCCAGUGUUUGGGUUGUUUUGCAGCUGCUGGGUCAAAUGUAACAACCCAGUGUUUGGGUAGUUUAUGUAUUACUUAGAUCUUGGGUCAGACGUAACCCAGCGGUUGAGUUAUUUAUUGCGGGGAUUUUUCUUCUCUUCUGGAGAGAGCAGUUCUAAGCGCCAUCGAUUUGAUGCAUUCGUUGGUAAAAUACAGGUUAUAAAGGCAGUCGCAGUAUAUUUCGGCUUUAAAGUGAAAAGCAGGGCGGCGCGGUCUCAGCCGUGAGCAGUUCCCCGCCGAACACGACUCCAGCUCGGCACGAGAACAAGCGCGGCGCGGCGCACUUACGCUGGAAACAGAAUAACAGAGACUGGUUAAUAACACGUAAAUUACUUCUGUUUUAAUGUUUAAUCUUUACUUUUAAUGUUUGUUAAACGAGGUUAAAUAUGAGCAAUAUAUAUAGCCUGUAUUAAAAACGAUAUAAACAAUGCUGUAAAUGAUAAAUAAAGGAAGUUAUCAUGCAAACCA